AAUUCAUAUCAUCUAAAUUUUCAAGUAAUUUUUAGCAGCAAAAUGAGGCACUCAAUUUUGUCAAAAAAUCAAUAACAAAUGAACAAGUAAUUACUCCGAGCAUUAACAAAAGAUGCCAACUUAUCCCUCCUAUCACUGCUAAACCACCAAGGGGGUUCUUUACGUGAUUAUUCAAAGAAUUGAUUAGAGCAGAAAAUAAUGUGAAAGCAAAACUUCUUCAUUUCUACCGUGAACAGUAUGUGCUUCAAUGCUUAAGCUCCAGAACCUGAUGUUAAUUAUUUGCUGUCCUACUGGAAUCCCUUCCAAAGAUGAAACGCCUUGUCCAGUCAGACACAACCAAUGCCCUUGUACGCCAGCUUACUUGCUUACUAGCAUAGACAGAAUACCAAAGCCACUGAGUGCUGUGUCCAAUUGAAACCCAAUCACCGGGAAGUUGUGCUGCCGUUUGCUCUCCCCCUAGUGGAGCAAAUUGACCAAGAUGCUUGUACCUGAAGGGGCGAAAUCGAUGGCGACCUUCUCCCCUGAACCUGAGAGGGCCUUCUGGAUUAUUCUCAACUUCUUCCAUGCGGUUGAAGCAAUUGGCAAGGUAGGUACCUUGUUGAGACGCAACCUGCGCUGUUGCUGGAAGAUUCUUCAUCUGAGAAUCCACUUCAGAAAGAGCUGUUUUAAACUCCUCGAUAUUUAAUUCAAUAGAUUCUUUUGCAACAUCCCCUUUGGCUUCCUUCAGCAGAUCAACAAUAUUGCGCAUUUUUUUGUUCUUUAAAUAAAGUUCCACUUGGGGAUAUCUUUCACAAAUGUCAUUAAUGACUUCUUGAAAUUCUUUUACUGUGAGUGUUCCAGAAUUGUCCUUGUCUGCCUUCUUAAAUAUUGCUGAGAUAUCUUCCAUGACUUUGCGCUGGUUAAUUGUUGCACAAUCACCAAGCGCAUAUACGUUAUUACAUCCCUCAACUCGCAGCCACUCAUCAGUUGCUAGAGCACGCCUGUUAUUCUGACCAAUUUGCCUCAUGAAGUCCCUAAUGACAGGAUGAGUUCCAAUUCCAGUUGACCAGACAACCAUUCCAUAAGGAAUAGAAGUAGUUUCUCCACUCCCCCUUACUUUAGUAGAAAUGUCUUUAUCAGAUACUUUCACAACCAUUGACCCUAAUUUCACAUCAAUGCCAUCUCUUCUGAACUUUUCUUCAGCAAAAUCUGUGAUUCUUUUGUCAAACAUGUUCAGAAUAUGAUCUGCUGCCUCAAGAAGUGUUAUUUUUACGAAAUCUUUAGCUGAAGGAUAUAUUUUGAUUAGAUCCUCAUUCACAAAAUCAUGAAGCUCUGCAGCAAAUUCCACACCAGUUGGACCACCACCAACCACUACAAAAUGAAGAAUUCUUUUUCUCUCUUCAUCGCUUAAAUUUGGUAGACUGGCCUUUUCAAAGUUGUCAAUAACAGUCCUACGGAUCUUCUGUGCGUCUUCAACCUCCUUCAAGAAAUUGCAAUACUCCAUCACUCCAGGUGUGUUGAAUGUAUUUGGUCGAGCUCCCAUGGCUAUUACGAGGUAGUCAUAUUCUACAACGAAUUCUUCUUUCCCAUUCAUGUUUGCAUUUUGGUUAGAUCGACAGUAAACUUUUUUGUUUUCUGCAUCAAUCUUGAAACAUUCAGCUUCCCAGAAACAAAUGUCGACAUUUUUCUUCCUGACAAUGUUGCGAAUAGGUUCAACGAUGCUGCGAGCUUCCACCGUACCACAUGUAACACUUGGUAGCAAGGGAGUGAACGCGAAGUAGUUACGAGGUGAUAUCACUUGAACAUCAUAUGAUGGGCUAUUUAGUUUCUUCAAAAAACUUGUUCCUGCCCAACCAGUUCCAAGCACAACGACCUUUUUUUUCUUGCUCACCGGCUCAGGUGUUGCCAAAGCAUGUACUCCAUUGGAUGAGUUUGCAUCAGCAUAGGCUAAAAGGCCCCCACCACUGACGGCGCAGACCACAAUAAACUUAGAGAGCAAAGGAUAGUCAUGAAAGGAUCUAGAAGCUCUCUCGAACAAGCUUAAACCUCUCAUUUUCGCUCACAAUCAGAUCUAUUUAGAAAAAUUCUGGAGAAACUAGUAGAUAAACAGAGCGCUUUUAAGCUAUAUAAAACAGAGAGAAAACGAGAGAGAGGCGAUUUCUUUUGUUAAGAGUAGCAGAAGAAGAAGCAGGUAAAUUGCAGAGAGAGAGAGAGAGCCCGAAAAGGUUGGAGACGGGAGAAAGAGGUUGGAAACGCGAACGUGAUGGCUGUGC
rnacentral:misc_RNA from 1 species